rnacentral:rRNA from 1 species
CCUACGGGAGGCUGCAGUGGGGAAUAUUGCACAAUGGGGGAAACCCUGCUGCAGCGACGCCGCGUGAGUGAAGAAGUAUCUCGGUAUGUAAAGCUCUAUCAGCAGGGAAGAAGCAAGACGGUACCUGACUAAGAAGCCCCGGCUAACUACGUGCCAGCAGCCGCGGUAAUACGUAGGGGGCGAGCGUUAUCCGGAGUCACUGGGUGUAAAGGGAGCGUAGACGGCCAUGCAAGCCAGGGGUGAAAGCCCGGGGCCCAACCCCGGGACUGCCCUUGGAACUGUGCGGCUAGAGUGCGGGAGGGGCAGGCGGAAUGGCUGGUGUAGCGGUGAAAUGCGUAGAGAUCAGGAGGAACACCGGCGGCGAAGGCAGCCUGCUGGACCGCGACUGACGUUGAGGCUCGAAAGCGUGGGGAGCGAACAGGAUGAGAUACCCGAGUAGUC